UAAACAUUUCUAAAUGAUAGAAAUUUAGUUUUACUAAAAUUGAAUUAUUUUUAACAUAGAUGAGUGAAUGUAGAUUGAGUCAUGAUAGCCUUUGAUUUAGGGUUUGGUAAUAUAUGUUAUAGUAUUAUUGGUAUUUUUAGGGUUAGAGUUUGAAAUCUUAUAUUUUUAAUAUUUUUUUAGUUUGACCUAUUUGUUUAGUGACUAUCUAAUAACUUGAUUUAAACACUUUCUAAGUUUCUUUUAAGUUUAAGGAAGUGUUUUUUUUUGCUUAGUUUUUUUAUUAUAAGGUCUGGAAGACUCUGACAAGACUUUGGUUUAGGGUUUAGUAAUAUAUGUUGUUAUAUCAAUUUAUAAAAUAUUUUGUAGAAAAUCUUAUAAGUUAUUAAUAUUAAUAAAAAGGUACAGUUUUUUUUUUCAAAAAGUAGUGUCACGUUUGUACAAAAACUAAGUUAUUUCAUCAAGUGAUCUAUUUCUUUAAUGGUCAGUUUUUUUCUAAAAUACAUUCAAUCAAAAAUACUCUAACAUUUGGGUUUAUGGUUUAUUGAUUAUUAUUUAGGGUUUCAUAAUUAUGGGUGGAUUAGGUUUGUAAACUUCUGUAAAUAAUUUUUAAACAUUUGAUCACACUCAAAUUACCCUAAGGAGUGAAUUACCCUCUCAAAUAAGAGGUUCAGUUGUAGUACUUAGGGAUCGAAUCCACAAG
rnacentral:lncRNA from 1 species